UGUGUACAUGAAGACCAAUUCUGUAACUUGGAUGGAUCAUGGAGCAGCACUUUAAUUACAACAGUUGGCACAUUUACUCUCCAAGGUGCAGGUUCAUCUUGGUCUCAAAUGUCAUGGAGAAUAACAAUGCUUACAGCAUUGUUGCUAGCAUCACUAUUAAACAUACAUUAUGCAGCAGCAGUGGUAGGAUCUCUGCUAAUACCAGCACCGCAUACAAUACGUACUCUACAAGAUCUAAUGGAGAGUCCAUUACGAGUAUCAUUUGAGAACGUAAGCUACAACAGAGAAUAUGUUGCGAGAACAACAGACAAACUUGGAAGAGAAUUAAUUCAUCGUAAGAAACCAGAAUUUGUCCAGUUGUCAGACGGAGUAAUCAAAAUCAGGAAAGGAUUUUUUGCCUUCCACACUGAAGGAGGCAGUGUAUUUCGCUUGG